GAUGAACGCUGGCGGCGUGCCUAAUACAUGCAAGUCGAGCGAACAGACGAGGAGCUUGCUCCUCUGACGUUAGCGGCGGACGGGUGAGUAACACGUGGAUAACCUACCUAUAAGACUGGGAUAACUUCGGGAAACCGGAGCUAAUACCGGAUAAUAUAUUGAACCGCAUGGUUCAAUAGUGAAAGACGGUUUUGCUGUCACUUAUAGAUGGAUCCGCGCCGCAUUAGCUAGUUGGUAAGGUAACGGCUUACCAAGGCGACGAUGCGUAGCCGACCUGAGAGGGUGAUCGGCCACACUGGAACUGAGACACGGUCCAGACUCCUACGGGAGGCAGCAGUAGGGAAUCUUCCGCAAUGGGCGAAAGCCUGACGGAGCAACGCCGCGUGAGUGAUGAAGGUCUUCGGUUCGUAAAACUCUGUUAUUAGGGAAGAACAAAUGUGUAAGUAACUAUGCACGUCUUGACGGUACCUAAUCAGAAAGCCACGGCUAACUACGUG
rnacentral:rRNA from 1 species